UGCUUGCUCUUUCUCUUCUUCCUCAAGCUGAGCACUAAAUCUCACCUCUCCUCCCCAAAUCCCAUCCAAUAGCCCAAGAUCAAUCCCUGCAUGUUAGACCACAACAAUCUCCAUCAUUCAAGCUUCCAUCCAUCCAAAUAUCUUGCAUAUGCAUGGGUUCAUGAGGGAGAUCGGAGAGAAAAUAGGUGGAGUUUGCUGCUGGUUGCAGUAGCAAAACAACCCUGUUUUUGCUCCAUUUGGUCUCCGAUGCAAUAUUUUGGAUCAAGGAACAGCUGCAACCUGUUUCUCUCCAUUCCAGCGAUUUCAACCCCUCUCUCUCUACUCAGAUUUGGAGAAUUCGGAGAGUAACGAGCCAUAUCCAGAGGAGGAUAGUGACUACCCUCAGCAGGAAGG